rnacentral:tRNA from 2 species
UCCUCCGUGGCGCAAUUGGCUAGCGCGUCUGACUGUUACGGGAAUUCGUUCCCACUGCAAUCAGGAGGUUGACAGUUCAAGCCUGUCCGGGGGAG